ensembl:snoRNA
GCACAAAUGAUGUGACUAUAUCAGUAUGAUAAACCAUGAUACUGUAAACGCUUUCUGAUGUG